rnacentral:rRNA from 1 species
GACGAACGCUGGCGGCGUGCUUAACACAUGCAAGUCGAACGGAAAGACCCUGCUUUUGUGGGGUGCUCGAGUGGCGAACGGGUGAGUAACACGUGAGUAACCUGCCCUUGACUUUGGGAUAACUUCAGGAAACUGGGGCUAAUACCGGAUAGGAGCUCCUGCUGCAUGGUGGGGGUUGGAAAGUUUCGGCGGUUGGGGAUGGACUCGCGGCUUAUCAGCUUGUUGGUGGGGUAGUGGCUUACCAAGGCUUUGACGGGUAGCCGGCCUGAGAGGGUGACCGGCCACAUGGGGACUGAGAUACGGCCCAGACUCCUACGGGAGGCAGCAGUGGGGAAUAUUGCACAAUGGGCGGAAGCCUGAUGCAGCAACGCCGCGUGCGGGAUGACGGCCUUCGGGUUGUAAACCGCUUUCGCCUGUGACGAAGCGUGAGUGACGGUAAUGGGUAAAGAAGCACCGGCUAACUACGUG